GCUGUGUUGCUGCUCCUCUGCUCUGCUGCUGCUUGCUGCUGUGGGUGUAUCGGAGCAAAGGCAGAACAGCCUUUGACAGAUGAAAGCUUUAUGGAAAAGGGCAUUUUCCCUCCUCAGAAUGCGUCUGUUGAAACACAAAAAUUGCCUCUCCUUCCUUGCGUCCCCGUUGAUCCGUUCCGCUUGCCUCUUCUGCAGGGGGGACGGCCCCUUCACCUGGCGGCCAGCUUCUAGAAUGUGACUUAUCAGCUGUCAGUCACUUCCAGUGAU